rnacentral:rRNA from 1 species
AGUGAACGCUGGCGGUAGGCCUAACACAUGCAAGUCGAACGGCAGCACAGUAAGAGCUUCCUAUGACGGGUGGCGAGUGGCGGAAGAGAGCGGAAUACGUCGGAAUCUACUUGUUCGCGGGGGAUAACGUAGGGAAAUUUACGAUACUACCGCCUAAGACCUGCAGGGGAACGCAGGGGCUCUUCCGACCUUGCGCGACUGAGUGAGCCGAUGUCGGAUUAGGUAGUUGGUGGGGUAAAGGCGUACCAAGGCGACGAUCCGUAGCUGGUCUGAGAGGAUGAUCAGCCACACUGGGACUGAGACACGGCCCAGACUCCUACGGGAGGCAGCAGUGGGGAAUUUUGGACAAUGGGCGCAAGCCUGAUCCAGCCAUGCCGCGUGGAGGAUGAAGGCCUUCGGGUUGUAAAGUGCUUUUGUACGGAAAGAAAAGCAUUCUUUUAAUACAGGAGGGUUAUGACGGUACCGUAAGAAUAAGCACCGGCUAACUACGUG